rnacentral:rRNA from 2 species
UGGGGAAUAUUGGGCAAUGGGCGAAAGCCUGACCCAGCAACGCCGCGUGAAGGAAGAAGGUUUUCGGAUCGUAAACUCCUAUCCUUGGUGAAGAUAAUGACGGUAGCCAAGAAGGAAGCCCCGGCUAACUACGUGCCAGCAGCCGCGGUAAUACGUAGGGGGCAAGCGUUGUCCGGAAUGAUUGGGCGUAAAGGGCGCGUAGGCGGCCUGGUAAGUCUGGAGUGAAAGUCCUGCUUUUAAGGUGGGAAUUGCUUUGGAUACUGCUGGGCUUGAGUGCAGGAGAGGUAAGUGGAAUUCCCGGUGUAGCGGUGAAAUGCGUAGAGAUCGGGAGGAACACCAGUGGCGAAGGCGACUUACUGGACUGUAACUGACGCUGAGGCGCGAAAGUGUGGGGAGCAAACAGG